UACGGGAGGCAGCAGUGGGGAAUAUUGCACAAUGGGCGCAAGCCUGAUGCAGCCAUGCCGCGUGUAUGAAAAAGGCCUUCGGGUUGUAAAGUACUUUCAGUCGUGAGGAAGGUGUUAAGGUUAAUAACCUUAGCAAUUGACGUUAGCGACAGAAGAAGCACCGGCUAACUCCGUGCCAGCAGCCGCGGUAAUACGGAGGGUGCGAGCGUUAAUCGGAAUUACUGGGCGUAAAGGGCACGCAGGCGGUUAAUUAAGUUGGAUGUGAAAUCCCCGGGCUUAACCCGGGAAUGGCAUUCAAGACUGGUUAGCUAGAGUCUUGUAGAGGGGGUUAGAAUUCCAUGUGUAGCGGUGAAAUGCGUAGAGAUGUGGAGGAAUACCGGUGGCGAAGGCGGCCCCUGGACAAAGACUGACGCUCAUGUGCGAAAGCGUGGGGAGCAAACAGGGAUUAGAUACCCGU
rnacentral:rRNA from 1 species